rnacentral:rRNA from 1 species
GAUGAACGCUGGCGGCGUGCCUAAUACAUGCAAGUCGAGCGAACGGACGAGAAGCUUGCUUCUCUGAUGUUAGCGGCGGACGGGUGAGUAACACGUGGAUAACCUACCUAUAAGACUGGGAUAACUUCGGGAAACCGGAGCUAAUACCGGAUAAUAUUUUGAACCGCAUGGUUCAAAAGUGAAAGACGGUCUUGCUGUCACUUAUAGAUGGAUCCGCGCUGCAUUAGCUAGUUGGUAAGGUAACGGCUUACCAAGGCAACGAUGCAUAGCCGGCCUGAGAGGGUGACCGGCCACACUGGAACUGAGACACGGUCCAGACUCCUACGGGAGGCAGCAGUAGGGAAUCUUCCGCAAUGGGCGAAAGCCUGACGGAGCAACGCCGCGUGAGUGAUGAAGGUCUUCGGAUCGUAAAACUCUGUUAUUAGGGAAGAACAUAUGUGUAAGUAACUGUGCACAUCUUGACGGUACCUAAUCAGAAAGCCACGGCUAACUACGUGCCAGCAGCCGCGGUAAUACGUAGGUGGCAAGCGUUAUCCGGAAUUAUUGGGCGUAAAGCGCGCGUAGGCGGUUUUUUAAGUCUGAUGUGAAAGCCCACGGCUCAACCGUGGAGGGUCAUUGGAAACUGGAAAACUUGAGUGCAGAAGAGGAAAGUGGAAUUCCAUGUGUAGCGGUGAAAUGCGCAGAGAUAUGGAGGAACACCAGUGGCGAAGGCGACUUUCUGGUCUGUAACUGACGCUGAUGUGCGAAAGCGUGGGGAUCAAACAGGAUUAGAUACCCUGGUAGUCCACGCCGUAAACGAUGAGUGCUAAGUGUUAGGGGGUUUCCGCCCCUUAGUGCUGCAGCUAACGCAUUAAGCACUCCGCCUGGGGAGUACGACCGCAAGGUUGAAACUCAAAGGAAUUGACGGGGACCCGCACAAGCGGUGGAGCAUGUGGUUUAAUUCGAAGCAACGCGAAGAACCUUACCAAAUCUUGACAUCCUUUGACAACUCUAGAGAUAGAGCUUUCCCCUUCGGGGGACAAAGUGACAGGUGGUGCAUGGUUGUCGUCAGCUCGUGUCGUGAGAUGUUGGGUUAAGUCCCGCAACGAGCGCAACCCUUAAGCUUAGUUGCCAUCAUUAAGUUGGGCACUCUAAGUUGACUGCCGGUGACAAACCGGAGGAAGGUGGGGAUGACGUCAAAUCAUCAUGCCCCUUAUGAUUUGGGCUACACACGUGCUACAAUGGACAAUACAAAGGGCAGCGAAACUGCGAGGUCAAGCAAAUCCCAUAAAGUUGUUCUCAGUUCGGAUUGUAGUCUGCAACUCGACUAUAUGAAGCUGGAAUCGCUAGUAAUCGUAGAUCAGCAUGCUACGGUGAAUACGUUCCCGGGUCU